ACAAAAUGUAUCGCCUUCAAACGUUUGAGGGUCUCUCUCUCUCCCCGACUUUUCCACUUCUUCUUUUCCAAUUUCUGAUUUUUUUUCUCAGUUACUUUCUCAAUCAAUUAUGAUAUUAAAGAUAUUCCUGAAUGUUUUGUUUCUCCUAUAUAAAAUUAUAUCUCUAAACGUAAAUCAAUCCUUAAUAAAAAACCUACUUUGCAAAAGCUACAUCCAUGACCAUGAAAUACCAUCGGAAAAUCUCAUCUCUCCUCUUACAAAUCUCCAAUGGUCAUUUACUUCUGCUGAAACAGCCUCCAUAGAGAAGAUAAAGCACAAGAGGUUUACCAUAAUUCCCUGAGGACAGAGCCGGAAGCCUGUGUGGUCAAUAUAAUGGAACCGGAGCUGAGCUUGAUCAGGUAAGCUCAGAUGUCUAGGGGUUAGCUGAAGAUAGACAGAAGCCAUCAGCGACGGAAACUGUGCUUAAUGGCGAGAUAGCCAAGACUAAACCUUAAUCGGACUGAGCCAUGGAGAUUAAGGCGGACUCUUCGAGAAGAAGUUAGCAAAGGACGGUGAAAACUGAAUAUACCUUUGUUGUGAAGUUUGACAAUUUUGGACGAAUAGUGAGAUUCUUGGGUUUGGUUUUGAAACAGAGCUUCUCUUGAGUUUGAGAGAAGACACGAGCAACCAUGAACGCGGGAUGGCGAAAACCACCAACCAUUUACAUCGUCAACUUGUGAACUCCGACCAUUUAACGUGGAGAUCAAAGCUAGAGCAGCAACUGCAGCUGUUGAGGCAGUUUAAAACCCAAACAGUCUCAAGGUUUAGUUUAAACCUUUACUUGCAAAACUAACUUUUAACUUUGUGAACCUAUUGAUGUAAAGCAUCUCCAACACAUUGCUAUUUUCACCUCUAUAAUAGCAUUUAGAGAUAAAAAUGCUCCAACCCACCUCUAUUUCUUCCUCUAUAAUAAAGAUCUCUAUUUUUCUCUAUUUAUACGAAGAAAUAGAAUUCCUCUAUUUUUUACUCUACAAAAUAGAGAUUGCUAUUUUAGAAAAAUACAUUGGAGCAUAUCCCACCUCUACUAUAGAAUUCCUCUAUUUUAGAAGUAAAAAUAGCAAAAUACAUUGGAGAUGGUCUAAGGCUCUGGAUUCUUUCAAGUUAUGAAAACUCACAUGAUGCUUAUUGCUUACGCAAGUCAAGGCCACCAACUCCCUGAAGCUAACGGAUCUCACCAGUCAUCAGCUGGGAAAGUUUUAACAACCACUCAGUUCAAACAGUAGGAUCUCUUUCGUGUUAAUCAUACAAGGUAUGUUGCACCUGAGCGUUUUAUAUUUUUAUGAGAAUAAUUGAAUAAAUGGAGUAUGAAAGGAAAUUAACCAAUCCUUAACACUUGAUAAUCAACUCAACUAUCUCCCUCUCUUUUAGUAACCAACUCAACUCACGUUCUUAUAAAACCUCUUCAUCGUUGUUACCUCUCUAAUGUAGAAACUUGAAAACCAAAAAAUAUUUAAAUUUAAAAAAAUUUCUUUGGCUGGUUAUUGUCCUCUUGAUUUCAGCUUCUGACUUUUUCCAUGAAUACAUACUCCAAUGGUAAGUAUACACCUAAACCCUAAUAAAGUUUUCACUUCAAUUUUUGUAUUUUAUGCUUUAAUUUGCUUGUUCUUUGUUUGGUUAUACGGGGUUAGAAGGAUUAAGUACAAUAAUGUUUUGAUUAUGCUAGAUAUAACUCAUGGGAAGAAAGACUCAGUGAAUAGAAAACAAAGAAAUGCUGUUGGGUGGGGUUGAAGACGUGUUCCAGGAAUGUUCACCAAACUGGGAACCGGGAAUCAUUGAUUAAAGAACUCCACUUUAUUAAUAGAAUAUUACCGUGGAAGCGAAGACCCACGAGCUUGCUAUAGAAAGCUAGAAGAAAGUAGAGAGGCAGAGCAAGAGAGAAUUGUGAGGCUGGAGCAAGAACAUGCAGACAUUUCCAGCUAAAAGCUAACGAAGCAAAUCGGAGGCUGAUUGGUGGACUAUUUGUAAAGACGUGGACAGUAUCCAAACUCUAGAUGCAAAGCUGUUUCAUUACUUGAUUUGCUAACGCCACUGUAUGUGCAGGUUGCAGAGUUUAAACACCUCAUCCGUGUUAAGCUAACACCAAAGAAUGAAUACUUGUGCUUCCAAAAGAAUUUGAUACUACAACCGCUUGGUGUUUGUGCAUCAGUAUUGGAAGGAUUCUAGGUCAGCCUUAUACGUUUUCUCCAAUGAAAUUAUGCAUCGGUGCACAAAAUACAUGGGAUCUGGUGGUGUUACAAUCAAGAAGACCACCCAACCUUUGGUCUUUUCUGUGACAAUAUGGUUGUAAAGAGGCUUGGUCACUACCUGAUUGAAUCAGGGCUCUGAAACUUAAGCUGCUGCUAUGUUCAUAUCGGCCAUAUUGUCUUCAUAUUGAGAAGAAAAAUAUUAUGUCAAAAAAAAAAAAAUUGAGAAGAAAAAUAUUUUUUUAAUU